AUGAUCGUGAGUGACUUCGCACAUCCGCCGGCACGGGUGGCCGGGUGCCCGUAUGCGGUUGCCCCCCGGGGCGGAUGGAGGCUUAAC
rnacentral:sRNA from 1 species